rnacentral:rRNA from 1 species
AGCAGGUGCGAAAGCAGGUCAUAGUGAUCCGGUGGUUCUGAAUGGAAGGGCCAUCGCUCAACGGAUAAAAGGUACUCCGGGGAUAACAGGCUGAUACCGCCCAAGAGUUCAUAUCGACGGCGGUGUUUGGCACCUCGAUGUCGGCUCAUCACAUCCUGGGGCUGAAGUAGGUCCCAAGGGUAUGGCUGUUCGCCAUUUAAAGUGGUACGCGAGCUGGGUUUAGAACGUCGUGAGACAGUUCGGUCCCUAUCUGCCGUGGGCGCUGGAGAACUGAGGGGGGCUGCUCCUAGUACGAGAGGACCGGAGUGGACGCAUCACUGGUGUUCGGGUUGUCAUGCCAAUGGCACUGCCCGGUAGCUAAAUGCGGAAGAGAUAAGUGCUGAAAGCAUCUAAGCACGAAACUUGCCCCGAGAUGAGUUCUCCCUGACUCCUUGAGAGUCCUGAAGGAACGUUGAAGACGACGACGUUGAUAGGCCGGGUGUGUAAG